AUCUAGGAAAAUUGCAUAAUGACACAUUAGUAACAUAAUAACAACAGCUAAAAGAUGCCACAAAAUCCUAAGGUGAAAUCAAAGCUUCAGAAGCAAAUCUUUGCAAGUUAAAAUCUCAGUAUCAAAGAAAGUAAAUUCUUAAAUCAAAACUUCUCCUUUAUGAGUUACAAACAUUGACCUCUCUUGCUACUAUCUCCUUAUUCCUCAGUUUCAUUUGUAAAAGUUCUGAGUUUCAAUCCCAAUUUGAGCCUGGAUUGCAAUGAACUAGGACUUCUAUGGGUGUCACUGUUCUUUCCAGAUAGCUAGCUUUGCAUGAACUAAAUGUCAAAUUUCGAAUGGCUGGAUCUCUACUCUAAAGGCUCCAAAUAAACAUCAAAACAUAUGCAAUAUCAAAGCACUGAAAACCCGCAAUAGCCAACUUUAAAAAAUAGGUACAUCUCAACCCUUAGAAUUUCUAUCCAGUAAAGUUCUAUUUCAAGAACAUCAUAAUGUUACCAAAGACUAUUACAAAAACUCAAAGGUUACUAAGUGCUAAUAGAAAAUCUUCUGUGCUUAGCUUCACUGGAGUGUCAACACUUAAUACUAGUUAUGUAGAAUUACAACUUUAUAUUUAUUACAGUAAAUACACAGGCAUGUAAGGAAAAAUUCUAGAACAGUUUUUCUUAGUAUGGUAAAAAUUUUAAUCACCAUUUCACUUUUGAAGAUCAUUCUCUCUUGCACAGAGCACUAAAUUCAGUACGAGAUCUGCUAUGAUGUUUCUCUCUUAUAUGUAACCAAGAAAUUUCCCAUGCUGUCACUAAGAAUCAGGUAUUCCUCCUGCUUUCUGCUAAAGGACCUAAAAUUAUAUUGGAAAUAUCAUCAAAGGAUAAAUCAUACUGGAUCUUCUUUUGGUUACAUUUAUAGCUUCACUGCUUCUCAAUAUUGGACCAGUUUCUUAAAACUAUUUUCCAGGAAUAGACAAACCCUACCUGCAAACCAAGAAGACAGAUUUUGGCCUAUGUUUAGCAAUAUUCUCUUGCCAUGAUGGAGAGUAUCCUCUCAUGAACAACGAUUAUAAAUCUGUCAAUCACCCUAUGUAACUUCUCAAAUGAAGCAGCUAAAGCCAUAGCUGCCCAAUAAAAAUCUUUAAACUCUUUAGCCACAGUAGUAAUGGAUAACAGAAUACCCCUAGACUAAGUAUUGGUGGAACAGGAAAGAGUUUCUAUGGUAGCUAACAUAUCAUGUUGUGUUUACAUCAAUACAUCUUCUGAAGUUGAAACACACAUGAAAUAAGAAGACAACAAGCUAAUUAAUCACAACAAAUUCCCAGGGAAGAACCAGGUGCCAACUAGUUCUCAGAUAUAUUUUUCUGAAUCCCACAUAGAAUUCAAUGUAUGCCCCCAAGCCAUAUGAAAAUUAAGACUUUACCUAUUACUAAUGCUCAUUUUUGGACAUUUGGUUAUCAAAUGCUGCCUCUGAUGUUAAACCUUUAAACUGUUAAAAGAGAAACCAAUGUAUUAAUAAUGCUAAAUGUUAAUAUUGUACCAGAUAUUAGAGAAUAUCUUCAACUUAAUGCAAAAUGAUUUCAUCCUUUAGGCCCAAACCUGCACCCCUAGUCAGUAGGAAAAAGCUAGAAUGGAUGUUGCCCCUAAUCCCUCAUGACUGAAGAAUGCACAUAGAACAGGGGGGAUUUAAACCAUGACCCAAAGAUUUAGUUAAAGAAACCAAUGGCUAAAAGAAGUUAUUGAGUUUGCAGGUUGGCAGAUUAAAAAAAGAAGAAGAGGAAACAACAACAACAACAACAAAACAACAACAACAACAACAAAAACUUGCUGAAACACUGAAACUCCCUUUGCUUAUUAACUAAAGAACACUGACUGAAAUUGGUUGGACUCAAUAUGGCCAACUAGAGUCUGCACAGAAAGAGCUUGCUGACAUUGCAACCUGAAUUUUCAGUGCAUGUUUCAUAACAGCUCCCUCCAACUUUGUACAUGUGAUCCAUGCGAUAGAAUGAAGUUAACUGUAUGCCCAGGGACUUUCUAGACCUUCUCUUUCCUUCCACCAAUUAUUUGAUCAUCUCAGAAUCCACCUCCUGAAACUUUUUGUAUACAAAUACUGCUUUGAAGCCAGCAUGGGGAGAAAAACUUGAGUUUGACAUGCCUGUCUUCUUGUGAGUCAACUUGCAAAAUAAAGCUUCCCUUUCCUCAAAAACCUGAUGUCAUAGUAUUGUCUUCUAGCACAUGGGGCAGUGAGCCCCGUUGGCUUGAUAACACUUCUAUCACCUAGAAUGGAAACACAGGUAGUUCGAGGGGCAUAGAGUAGAGAAAACAGAGAAUCAUUGACUAAGUAAUGGUACCAAAAGUAUUUUCAGACUGAGGACUGUUGUGGCCCACGUAGU
rnacentral:lncRNA from 1 species